rnacentral:rRNA from 1 species
UUGGCCCUACGGACGCAGCAGUGGGGAAUAUUGCACAAUGGGGGAAACCCUGAUGCAGCGACGCCGCGUGAGUGAAGAAGUAUUUCGGUACGUAAAGCUCUAUCAGCAGGGAAGAAAAUGACGGUACCUGACUAAGAAGCCCCGGCUAACUACGUGCCAGCAGCCGCGGUAAUACGUAGGGGGCAAGCGUUAUCCGGAUUUACUGGGUGUAAAGGGAGCGUAGACGGCAGCGCAAGUCUGGAGUGAAAUCCCAUGGCUUAACCAUGGAACUGCUUUGGAAACUGUGCAGCUAGAGUGCAGGAGAG